GGCCCCGGGGCGGGGAGGCUGGGACGCCGGGGCUCCGGGUUCCCGGUUCCCGCCUGGCCGCCCGGUUGCUGGUGCGGGUUGGGGUAGAGCUGCGAGCCCUAAGUACAGACGCCUCCCAGGCGGGACCCGCCAAGGGUGCGGAUCGCCGUGGCUCCCUCAGGGCUGGCUCCCGGGCUCUGUGAGCAAGUGCGGAGUGGAUCCCAUUCUGCUGCCUAUCCCGGCCGCAGUGGGGACCUCGGGAGAACGAGGAGCUAGGACGCGGCGACUGCAACGCACUCACGGGAACAAGAAGUCAUUUCAACUUUAAAGCAUCUAAGACUACAAUUGUGGACCCCGACUGAAAGCAAUAGAAAGGGGAGAAGCUGGGCCAUCUUUCAUUUACUCUCAUUUAAAAGGAUUUGAAGAGAAAAUAAAAUGGCAGAGCUGUAAGAUUAAUAUCCAGGAUGAAUGAUGAUAACUCAGAUAGGAAAGAAGAUGAACCGCAUUAUGUAUUUAUCUGUGAUAAGAACUCGAAUCCGUCCGAAUGCUUCAAAACAGCUCUGCAGUGCUCUUCAGUUAGUCACGGGGACUGGGACUCGGCCAACCCAGAUGACAUGGUGGUCGAUUAUGAAACAGAUCCUGCCAUGGACAGUAGUGAAAGUGUUUCUUUAAGCCAUCAGCGUGUUGAAGUGCUCGCUUACCCAGAGCCUUCAAGUGACUUCAUGGGGAAGCAUGAGUUUGCAAUGUACAGUGAGCUUACCUGCCAGUCUCCUGCACUCGUGAACACAGGGAAGCCCCCAGACCCACACAGUGACUUUGGUUCCCUAGAGGCAAUCCAGGAUGAGAGGUUUGAUCCAUCUAAGCCCUGUGUGUACAAGGCUGAUGAUGAUUAUGCUUGUGGAGACUCUCCUGAAACUUUGGAGCUAAAACAAACAUGUCACAUGAAAGUGGCCACAGCUAACUGCACCUUUAUAGCACAGCAAGCUAUUGAACAGGGUCAGCCUCCACGUGCUCCUAGAGGGUUGCAGCCAACAGUGAGAGACAGAAAUGCAUUGUCCUGCUCCAAUCGGACCCCACCCUCUUCCUCUAAAAUGUGUGUAAGAGGGGUUAACGGCAAUAGAGAGAACUUCGAAAGCCUUCAAACCACACCACCAAAGACCCUAAACACAACCUAUACAGUGAUUUCUGAUGUGCUGAUGCAAACUGACAGUCCAGACAUUGGAAUUCAGUGUCAGCAUUCUUUAGGAAAUAUCACCAAAGAGUACACAGAUGGGACAGGGCAAGGAUACGUUGGAGAAAAAGAGAUACAAGCUGUGACACUGGUUUCUGAUGGCAUGGAGGUCCCCAAUGGGUCUGUAUUACAGAAGUUCUAUUGUAUAUCUGAAGAAGACCCAAACAGUGAGACACAUUCACACGGCUCGUAUGCUCAACAGGAAAUGGGCCAAAAUCUAAGGGGAUCAUUGUCCGACGGUCAUGUUGCUGGUGAAUGCCCAGUACUGGGGCCAGCUUUUGGUAAGAGUAAAACCCGAGUGCUGGACUCUGAGUGUAAAGUCAUGGUGACUGAAGACCCACACAUGGAUUCGCAAGACAAUGACUCAGACAUUCAAAGCAGUACUGAGGAGCUGACCCUGGGAAGUGUUCCAAGGCAGAGGGUUUCCUCCUAUGAGGUGGGUUGGGAUGAGAGUGUAGGAGCCAUUAGCACAAAUAAUACAGCCUGCGUGUCAGCCCCAAUUAGGCAACUCUCCGAUGUGAGCCUCACACUUUCACCUGUUGAGGUGACGAAGAAAUACAAUAAUGUGGAGAACGGACCAAGAGAUGCUAAAAGUGCACCAAACUUGAAAGGAGAACCAACAAAUAUGCCACAACCUAAUCUGGGAAAAUCAGCUACCAAAACGAACACCACCAUAGGCGGUAAAGUCCGGAAGACAGAAAUUAUAAGUUACCCCAGACCAAACUUCAAGAACAUUAAAGCCAAAGUUAUAUCCAGAUCCGUGUUGCAACCCAAAGAUGCUUCCCUAAUGAAGGACACACCCAAUCCCCAGGUUCCGGGGGGCUCCUCACCCACACCAGUGCCUUCUAAACAGUUGACAAUGACGAACAAAACACUAAGGUCUGACUUGAAAGCAGACAGGAAAGCAGAAAUCCCAAUUAACAAGACACACAAGCAACAGCUUAAUAAAUUCAUUACCAGCCAGGCUGCGCAAGUUACAGCCCAUUCUAAAAGUGCUUCGCUCAGGGUUCCAAGAACAGCAUCUGCCACGAAAUUGAACCAGGAGGAUGUUGACAAGACAGGUUCUCCUCAUGCAGGGAGCGAGACCGGGUCUGUGACCGCCUUCUUCCAGAAGAUCAAAGGCAUCCUCCCGGUUAAAAUGAAAAGCUCAGAGUGUUUGGAAGUAACUUAUGUUUCCCACAUCGAUCAGAUUAGCCCUGAAAAGGUUGAGCAGGACUGUGAGGCUCCACUGGAAAAGCAACAGCGGGGAAAGCAAGCCAUGAAUGAGACUUUUGAAUCCAAGUCUCUGUUUGUGGGCUCUGCACCCAAAACAUCCACCACCCCAGGAAGGAGCAGUUCCAAGCCAGAUUCCUGCAGCCUGAGGAAAACACCAGGUCUAAAAGCCAAAGUGGGGCCGGCUGCUUCCUGCCUGAGGAGGAAGAACGACAGUAGAACCCUAGGCUCCGACAGGGCCUUAUCGCCUCAGAGGAUCAGGCGUGUGUCCGGCUCUGGUAGUAAUGCUUCCAUCAACAAAUUUGAAGAGAAACCCCCCAAACAAGCCUUUCAGAAUGGCUCGGGACCCUUAUAUCUGAAGCCUUUGGGACCCAGAGCUCAUGCACACUUGCUCAAAACUCCUCCAAAAGGUCCUUCGAGAAAGAGUCUGUUUACAGCUUUUAAUUCAGGCAAGUGACCAUUUUAUGAAUACAUUAAAAUAUUUCCAUUUGAAAAGUAACGAUUAAACACAUUGAAAUUUAUUUGUAAUUACUUUUACUUGUAUAGUUAAAAGUCAAAAUUCAGGCUUUAAGGUGUAACUAACUGCUUAGGACGAACAGAAGAUGAAACAGGUAGAUUUAGCCUAAGAUGACUUUUUGAACAUGGUUCACAUGAAAUACAACUGGACACUCCUUCAGAUAUACAUGCUAUUUUAAACUGGGUCAUCUUUAAUAGUAAAAUGGUCUGAAGAUACAAUUUUUAACUAAUUGUACCAAUUCAAGGCUUUCUAUGUUUCUGACUUCCUCCAUGCACACUGUCGGUUGGAUGUACAUUUCUAGGGCAGCCUAUAGCUUAAAGUAAAAUUGAACUACAUUGAGAGCCCAGCACUUCCUUUUGAGCAUCUAAAGCUCUUAUGUGCUCACCAGGUUUCCAUGUAUGACACGCAGGCCUGUGUGCAGCCGGCCAUGCACUGCCUAUGUGCUCUCCUUUUUACUGCAGCGAUAGCAGAGUCAUGUGGCUUCCAAGUCCACUGCACAUCAGGACAGAAUGCCAGAAAAAAGAAAGGAACAUGUAAAGUAGCUGUUAGACAGAGUCUCAUGUUGUCAGUACAGAAUUCAUCUGUGGGCCGCGGGGUCCCUCCGGUUAGCUGUAAGAAUGGUGGUUGGUUAGUUUCCCAGCCCAAGGCUGGCCUGGAAUUCGAGCCUAAUGAGGAAAGUUUGCCCCGUGUGGCUUUGGAAGCAAAACUACUUAACUAUGGGCAUUCCAUUUGGUUACAUGCCACGGCGUGAUCGGGUUUAACGGGUCACCCAGUGUGAUAACAACGAGCCUCUUGGGUACUUGAGUUGGUUCUCUAUCCUGUUCACAGAGAUCGCGUUAUGAGCUGUUUUACAAUCAUCUCUGUUUGGGGAGUUUUCUGGUGACAGAUACUUCAAAGUGGGAAUUAAAAAAACUAAAGCACAUGCAUUUUAGAGUUGCUUAGAUAAUCAUAUUAUUUCCAUAAAGCUUCAUACUAGUUUCUGAUAUGAUCCACAAUAUUACAGCAUCAGUCAUACUGUCUCUGGUCAAUCUCAGAUUUAAUUUAAUUUAAUUAAUUAAUUUAUUAUUUUUUAAAACUUUUAUGUAUUUAAUUUAAUGUUGUAAAGUUGUUUUUUUUUUUUUUCCAACAUGUGUUUUGUGAACAGUGUCAGAUCCCCUAGAUCUGGAAUUACAGUUGUGAGCUGUCAUGUAGGUUCUGGAAAGUGAACUGUGUUCUUUAGUAGUGCUCUAAAUCUCUGAGCCAUCUCUCUAGACCCCGGUUGGCUUUUUUGUGUGUGUGUGUGCGCGCGUGUGUGUAUGUGUGUGUGUGUGAAAUGUUUGAAAUGUUCCAUCAUUAUUUUAGUUUAACGGUUAUUUUAAAGAAUUCUGUUACCUCAGAAGACAAUGAAAGAAGAUUGACCUUGUGAGGCUCCGAGGUUGGCGUAAAUCUUGGUUCUCCUUCUUUCUAUUUCUGUCCUGACCUCUGGCUACUUGCUAAGCCUCUCUAGGGCUUGAGUUUCUCGUGUGGCAGCAUGGGAAUGUUGAGCAGAUAAAUCCCAGUGUGGGAAUUGUUCUGACCGUGGAGACUAUUUUCAUCCCAGGCUCUCACAUGGUAGUGGCCACUGCUGUUAGGGCUGACAAUCCUUGUCAUUCACUUCCCAUGGCUUUACAUCGGAGGUAACCCCACCCCCCACCGCAGGGUGUUGAGUCCCAGGAAACCCUCGAAGCAAGUGGUAAACCUCACCAAAGCUAUGAACCCCCUCCCCGAGCUCUAGCCAUUGUGACAUUUAAAGGUUAUGACAUUAGGAGAUUCUAGGCAGCACCGGCUCUAAAUAAAACGCACUUGCUAUUUGGGAGGGGGUUGUCACACACCACAGCAUACUAUUAUAAAUGUGGCUCUGACACCCAUAGUUGCUGUUCGGGAUACCUCAGCCAACCCAAGUUGUGCUUACACAGUUCUUGACUGUUUUAUAUACCAUCCUGUCAUGGGCCAUGGUGUCUGCCUUGCCAAGUGGGAAUGCCUCCUCCUGUGCCAUUUCAUAGACAUGGGCCAGGGUCGUGUGGCUUUCUGCGUCUCCUUGCUCCAAAGUCAGGAGGUGGUUGAGCUGCAGACCUACUCUGGGGAGGGGAUGAGAUGCUGCCACACUGUACACCUGCGGUCCUUCCUUAUUACAUGUUGGUGAUCUCAACUUGGCUCUCACGUUGAAAGAGCAGAUCCCAUUUGGAUACGUGGAAAAUCUGGUGCUUUGUGUUGGGAGGAAUGAAUCGCUUAGUGAAUCCCACUGCAGCAGUGGCUACCGUUUUGGCCGGGCACUAGAUGUCCUCACCAAGGGCACGUGAAUGUAUUGUACACAGAAGCAUUUUAAGUGUAGAGAUAAAUAAAAGCACCACAAAUACAGACCUGGGUAUAGAAGGUCUUUCCAGUAACAUGCAUAUAACAAAGGAGAUCAAUAAUUAUGACAGCACAUGAUUUGAGCUUUGUUUUGUCAAAUCAUUACGAACAGUAGUAAGAACAAAGCCAUACAAUGACACCACAUUUGCUCUGGGUAGCGCUCUCAAAAACCAGCAAGGCAGAGCCAGCCUCACAAUAGAUGCUAAAAGGGCCUAUUGUCUUAAGACACCUCUGUUAAAAUCCAUAUUGCAUCUUUUUAAUUGAAAAAGAAAAGUAACUACGUGAAAUUCAGGGCGAGCCAAAUAAGACUCCAAUGCCAAUCUUGUGGGGGGCAAAAACAAAGAAAGGUGAAGGUGCCGUAAUUCUUGCUUUCAAAUCUAUAAUUAAAACAGUCUGAAGUGGGCACAACGGUAGAUACAUAUUCCAAUGCAAUGAAUGGAACAGCCCAGAAACAAAUCAGUUUACUCACACUCUGCUGAGCCUUGGCAAGACUGCCAAAAACUACCAAGUGGAGAAACCAUCAUUUCUCUAAGGAAUAGUAUGGGAAGAAGUAGAUGUCUGUGGGUGCACUGAACUCGAACCUUCACCUCACCCCAUACACAGAAAACAACUCAGUGAAUUACAGUAAAACUCAAAACUGAAAAAUCAGGAGAAGACAGAGGGGAGAGCUUCAUGGCUUUGUCGUUGUCCAUGAUUUCUUAGAUUGAUACCAGAAGAAUGUGGCAAGCAAAAUGGGACAAGUGGGACUCUGAGGAGCCCAAACUCUUCUGCUUAGCAAGGGGGGCAGUCGGUAACAUGACGGGUGGCCCACGAGACAGAGGGGACUGCUUGCAAGCCAUACUUUGCAAUAAUGGCUGAUUUACCCAAAGUGAAAUCAGGAUAUGGAAAGGAGAUUUGAUCUGCCAUGUUCUUUGCAUACUCUUGCAAUUGGGGGUAUGGGUGGAGGUUGGGAGGGGAGACACCGUCUCUGCGGACUGGUGGCCCAGGUGCCCUGGCGAACACAACAGAAAGAGGGACAAACCAUCCCAAGCAAUAGAUAUCAAAAGACUGACACCCGACAGGCGUCCCCUGACCUCUCCAUGCACCGUGUGGCACAUGUGGCAUUCACAGGCACAAAUGCAUGGGCGUGCAGUGCACAGAAGGGAGAAGGGAGUCUUGCUGACACCGAUUACACUGGUAUCUAAAUCUUUAGGUUUUGUAGCAGCAUAACACGUAAUGGCUUCCCGGCCCUGGUGGUGCUGGCCAAGAAAUGGGAAGUUGCUGUUGUGGAGAGAUUCAGUUUUGAAAGAUCAGGACAUUGUGACAACAUACACGGUUACAGCACAGUUUAACAGUAAGGAGCAUAGGUUUAAAAUUUGUUGAGGGUAGAUUUUGUGUUCUUGCCUUAAUAACAGGGAAGAUGAACACACAAGAAACUGAAAAAAAAAAUGUAGGACUAAGAAACGGGGAAAAGAACUGUUAGCUGAUUGAAGCGUGUACUCUCCUUUUGGGCCGAUUUUUCUUUAGCCCGGUACCUAGUGGAUGAUGAAUCAAGACCAGGAGCUUACACUCUGUACCAGAGUAUAUGUGAAUUUGGGAGCCAUUGCAUAAGGAAUGGCUUUCUAGACAAGAUAUGCACGAUCAGAACGAGCCUAGGAAGAGGGUCUUCUUAAAUUACUUUUCAGACUUCUUUAAAAUAGGAGGAGGAAAUGGAGACUUAGAGAGAUGGCUUGGUAGUUAAUAGUUUUACUAGUCAAAGAGCAAACAAACGUAAAGUAAAACAAACAAUGACUAAAACAAGAAACCAAAAGGCCCACUACCACCAAAAGCCAACUAAAGUCUAAUCCUUAUUUACUGCUCCAUCCUAAGUACUAAACUUUGCUCCCCUGGUUUUCUGGCCAUCGUUGCCUCGUGCUGAUCCUUAGGACUUGACAAAGUAACAGCAGAAGCCACCUUUCUUCAUUGCACCAUGCCAGCUGGCCACCAGGGGGCAGAGGAUGUUUGGGAAAGAGUCGAAACCGAGCAGUUUGAGGCUUGUCUCUAAGCACAUUGUUUUGUUGGGGGUGGGGGCGCUUUUUACAAACAGGAGCUGCAUUUGGUUUUCCUCCACACUGAUAUUAUUUGUAUUACUUCAGCCUCUUUCUGCAUUCAAGAGAAAAGGUUAAUAAUUAACAUGCACGGGGUAGGUGAUGACAGUAGAGUUCAAAUAAACUUUAUUUUAAAUUUAUUUUUUUUUAUUUUACCUUACUUUAUUUUCAUGGGUGUGGGUGUUUUGCUUACAUGCAUGUCUGUGUAUCACAUGCAGGUAUCCUGCCUGAAAGGGUGAGCAGCAGGUAUCCGAUCCCUUGGGACUGGAGAUGGCUGUGAGGGGUCACAUGUAGGGUGCUGGGAGCGGAACAUGGGUCCUCUGGAAGUCUAGCCAUUAACUGCCAAGCCUUCUCUUAAGCCCCUUAAAACAAAACUUUUAGUAAAUGUACAUUAUUGGUUAUUUCUUCCUUUGGGUAGUUUAAGCCAAUGGGUUUCCCUGUGACAGAAUCGUUUACUAUUAACAAAAGAACCACAACCCCUGAAAAAGAUCCCACCCAGAAACCAAAAAACUGACUACACGGACAAGCGUGGGUGUGUCUAUUUGUGACACUAAUUUUAUUUCUCAUUCAGUUUGCAGUUUUGAUUCUUACUGAUACCUUUUUAGAACAUGUUUUUGAUAGCAAAUGAGGAGCUUGGCUUUUGGUUUUGUUCUGGUUUUUUUGUUUUUGUUUUUGUUUUUGUUUUAAUAUUCCGAAUUUGGAGAAAGGAGUUUAAUGGUUUUAAAAAUAACAACCUGUGAUUUAACAGAGGAAAAGAAAGCCCAAAGAUCUGUUUCUUUGACGCUAAUUCAGUGGUACGACCUCUUCACAGAGGUCACCAAAGACCAUGGGAAAGCACAGACGUUUACAUUACACUCCUAACAGUAGCAAAAUCACAGUCAUGAGGAAAACAAUUUUAUGGUGGGGGUGGAGGGCACAGCAUGAGGCACUGUAUUAAGUUGCAGCAUAAGGAAGGGUGAGAACCACUGCUGUAACUCCAUUGUUGCUAUUCCUGUUGCCCUGGAUGUGUUCUUCAGGAGAUUGGUUGGGUGUGGGUGUGGCCUCUGUGGGCUGCUGGUAUGUUCUGUCAUCCUCUGACAGGACAGGGCAUGGGGUGCAAGCAAGGGGUUGAGUUAUUCCAGUUCUCUCUUUCUCCUGUCCGCUCCGACUCUCAGAUGCUGUGUGGGAUUUCGGAAUAACUGCUUUUUAUCAGUUGCAACGUUCAUGACAGGACCUGCGACAUCAUUGGCUGUUACAUAAAGCUCCUGAGACCACCCACUUUCUCCUCCCCUUUCCAUCCCUGAUGGGAGCCACAACAACCCAUGGCAUGUACAGUGUGAUGUAACCAGGGCUGCCUGCUUCCGGACCUGCUCCUCACAGCUCUUGCUCAGACGGAGGGCAUUGUUUUUUUAGCAACAUCUGGGAGUGCGAACGGAAGCCUGGAGCCCUAGGAUAGCUUUAUUUCCCCCUCUGGGUGGCCUGGCGUCAGCUAUGUAAGCUUGUUUUGCUCUGGCUGUGUCUCUUGGCCUGGAAGAACACCGAGUUGCAAAGGGACAGUAUGUGAUGGUCCCUGGAAAAGCUGCUUCCCCUGCGAAGUUCUCCCACUGGCUUCGAAGAGAUGCUGUUGUCUCCCAAAUUCUCCUUAUCCACCAUUCACGUCCGCCUAACCGCCAAGGGACUGCUUCGAAACCUCCGGCUUCCUUCUGGGCUCAGGAAAAACACUGUCAUUUUCCACACAGGUUGGUCAUGCCCUGGUCUCUGCUCAGCACCAAACCGGGGAGGGAUAUGCUGAUGAACUUGCAAACGCUUCUCAGAUUUCUAUGGAGACAGAUAAUUGGGAAAUAAAGCCCUCUUUAAAAGGAGAGACUUGACUGGUGACAAGGAGCAGUUUUCUCUUGUGUCGAGCAGGAGGGGAGGGUACUUCGGCAGCUGUAGGCUUGUCUGAGUUUAUGGAUGCAGGGUCAUUGCCUUGCAACUUUCUGAAGCUCUCCUCAGCCACCAAAUCUGUUAUAAAAAAAAAAAAAAACCAAACACCUGUUAAUUCACAUCUGUCUUCAAAUGAUUUUUGGAAAUAGGUAGUGAGCAUGUUGAGACGACUUCUCUUUGCAUUGGGAAAGGAGAUGGUUUCUGUGGUUUUGUUUUGCAGUUUAGCAGUUUCUCACUAAGAUGGCAUUUCCGUAUAUGGAAAGACCCCCCCCCACACACACACACACACUCACAUACACACACAUUGUAAACACUCCUAAAAUCACCCAGAUGCUUGCGGAGGGCCAGUAAGCGGACCUCACUUUAGUUUUCCAGUCUUCCUAGUGCAAACAGCUGUGGUCAUGGAAUAUUGCUGCUGCUGUCUGUGUAUGCUGCUGCCGCCGCCGCCUUUCAUUCUGCUGUGCGUAACCGGGAACUCUCCUGGGUGCAUCCCUUCAAGCACCUGUAAACCCGUCUGCUUACGCUCAGGUACUAAGACCGCAGUGGUGGUGAAUUAAGUUGAUUCCAUUGUGUGACAGCCUAAGUCUCCUUAUAAUUGGUUGGGGCUGCCCUGUGUUCCCUUUAACAGGCUUGCUUCAUGGGCAUGCAAAUGCACGAUUUUCCCAUGCCAUGUGUGUGUGUUUCCUGUGUGCCUCUUGUUUUUCAGUUGGCUCACUGUCCCUGGUGAUUUUCUUUUUUAAAUCGUGCUGACAGCUUUUCAUCUUCUCAGCGGCAUCUGCCUUCCCUGUGGGAUGAUCUUGAUAUUUUUUUCCCCAGCUUCCUUUCCUCGUUUCAUAACUCCCCUUGGCCGGGCAUUUGAGUUGGCUGGCCUUUCCUUCCAGGUCUGAUGGCUGAAGGUAAAUGAAGAGAACUGGGGCCAUGCCCAGCCCAAAUGCCACUGUGAUUCAUUUCACCCCUAAAAAAAAAAAGGUGGGGGCCAUGGUGGGGGGAGCUUGCUGGCUGCUGAGACCUUGGCUUUAAUUGCCUGUCCCCUGAAAUUAAAAAUAUAUUACAACUAUAUAAAAAAGGUUAAAAAAAUACAGGUGUGCUCUGUUACUGUUACUAUUAUAUUAUUAAUUUUUUCAUAUAAUUUUCAUCCUAUUCUUUCUCCUCCAGCUCUUCCUGGUUCAUCCCACCCCCCUACAUUAUACAAACAAGUGUGCUUUAUGUUAACAAUAAUUUCCGUGUUCCAAAGCACAAGCAGCUCCCAAUAUUAAUUUCUAAAACUAAUGUAGGACCUGCUCUAAGGUAAAAGGCUUGGGAGCAGUGGGCAGAUAGGAUCUAAAUACAUUAUAUGUGUGUGAAAUUUCUAAAGAGUAAAUUUUCAAAAUAAAAUCAGAAAGAGAAGGUCUGAGGGCACAGCGUCAGCCAAAUGUGCCUCUUUCUAACCCCGACUCUAUCGUCUCUCACUGUCACAGUCUUCUGGUUACCUUUCCUACAGUAGGUUAGCCAGAAACAAGCUUAUGGGAGCCUUUCAUAGCCUCAUCGUUAGGCAGACUUGGAAGCUUGGUUUUGCUGUUUUAAUUGCUGCCCUUUGUAAGGUUACCGUAUCUUAGAGUUUCAUGGUUACCCACUUCAUUCUUCUUUGGGUGGAGAAGGUGCCAGGGAUGGAGCCGGGUCUGGUACCUGCUUGACUGGCGCUCUACCUACUGAGCCGCACAACCCAGCCUUUAUCCCAGACCUUUAACAGUGUGAAGCGCUGCUGACUGAACAGUGCUUUCACUUGUUCCACCCACCGAUGGCUUGACGUUUGUUUGUAAACGCCUUUGUUAAGCUGGUACUUUGAGCCUGAAUGACCAGAGUUCAGUUAAUAAUGUGUUUUCUUGCCAUGUUGUUUUCUGAGCUUAUAGAAGUAUUUUAAAACCCUUUUGCUGAGAGUCCUAGUCCUUAGACCUGUAAUACACGUAGCAGGGAGAGUGCUCCUUACUUUACCCUGGGAAGGCCCGGGCACAUGAACUGACUUGCCCAAGCGCACACAGUAAGUGAGGCAGCAGCACAACCUGUGAGCUCUGUUUACAUUUUUUACCUUAAAGAUUUUUCCCCCAGCUGUGAGUAUGGCGCUCUCUCAGCACCAGGGACUGGGGACGAAGGAGUGCUUUCCUCGUCAAGAUUGUUAAGUUCCUAUAAGAAAUUGGAGGCUGGGGGUUGGGGAUUUAGCUCAGUGGUAGAGCACUUGCCUAGCAAGCACAAGGCCCUGGAUUCGGUCCCCAGCUCCUAAAAAAAAGAGAAAAAAAAAAAAAGAAA